CAGCCUCCGCGGGAACACAGAGGGUGCGAGCGUUAAUCGGAUUUACUGGGCGUAAAGCGUGCGUAGGCGGCUUCUUAAGUCGGAUGUGAAAUCCCUGAGCUUAACUUAGGAAUUGCAUUCGAUACUGGGAAGCUAGAGUAUGGGAGAGGAUGGUAGAAUUCCAGGUGUAGCGGUGAAAUGCGUAGAGAUCUGGAGGAAUACCGAUGGCGAAGGCAGCCAUCUGGCCUAAUACUGACGCUGAGGUACGAAAGCAUGGGGAGCAAACAGGAUUAGAUACCCCUGUAGUCCCUGUCUCUUAUAC
rnacentral:rRNA from 1 species